rnacentral:RNase_P_RNA from 1 species
UGGGCUGGCCGGGCGACCGCGUCCCACUCCUCGCGGAGCGGGCCGAGGAAGGUCCGGGCUCCACAGGGCAAGGUGGUGGGUAACACCCACCCGAGGUGACUCGCGGGAAAGUGCCACAGAAAACAGACCGCCGCCCCGCUCGCGGGGCGGUCAGGGUGAAACGGUGGUGUAAGAGACCACCAGCGACCGGGGUGACCCGGCCGGCUCGGCAAACCCCACCUGGAGCAAGGUCAAACAGUGCAUGUCCGAGGGCGGCCCGCCCGAGUGCACGGGUAGAUCGCUGGAGGCUGCC